AAACCUUGUUUCUACCUUUAUUUUGCUGAAUUGGUUUGGUUGCCAUGGUGACGCGCAGGUACGAUGGUCAGACAGGAGUAAGGGUUAAGCAGCUUCUAGAAACCCUUUAAUGUGAAAUCUUUCACAUUUUUAGCCUUAGAGCCAAACUGACACUCCUUCUUUUAUCUACUUCCUGCUAAACUUUUUCAAAAUAAGAGAAAGCCGUUAGUGCCGCUCACAGCAGAUGGUCGCCCUCACCGGCUCUGGUUCUGCUGGAGUCUGAGUGAGCGGCGGAGGGAGUCGCCUCGGGCUCCUACCUGAUGCUGGAGAAGAGCUGCCGGUGUUCAUCGGUGGUCAGGAUGUCCGGCAGCACCGAGGCCAGCCACUCCACCCGCUUCUCUGCCGCAAACUGCUUGAGAACGCCGAACAGCUGCUCCUUCACUUCAGGCUCGCCGGACAGAAUCUGGUCCACCUGAUGGAGAGCGUCAAGAUGAGGUCUUCAAGUGGUUCCUCAUUUACAGAUUUCAACCCAACGGUUGGCUGUAAAUAAGCUGGUAAAGUUGAGUGUUUUCUGUCUAAAUAUAUUCUCAGCUCCACCUAAAGAACAGAGAAUAAAGUGAUAUUCAGAGUAAAGACCAUGUCCUAACUAUGAAA